rnacentral:sRNA from 1 species
GGCAUGAAGAUCCUCAUAACUGGCAUGAACAUUGACGUGAAGCUCAUCCAUCGUGUAUGAUGUGAAGAAAUUAGUUUUUUUCUAAGACUGUGUUACUUUCAAGUUCCAGCAAGGAUAGGAGUUCAAACUGGGAGUUUACAGUGUUAAAGUUUGAAGUGAAUGAGCAGAUAAAAAUCAGAUUUGUAGAGACCCAUGAAGAAAUCCGAGUAAAUGGCUUGGCCAGGAAGCCAAGUCCAAGAAUUCCUCUCCAUCAGAUUUCACCAUAAGAGAAUGAAGAGGACUAUUUGUGGUACAAACACACUGAGGAAAAAGCCAAAUGGUGAGGACAGAUAUCUACAGCCCUGGAAAUUCCACGGCUUUCUGAGACCAUCAAAGUCAUGGAGAGGGGCAUGGACUAGACCAUUCCUUAAAACCUUCAGGAAGAACCAACUGUUCUAGAACCUCCCUUGGUUGUGAGCUUCUGGUCACCAGUACCACAGAAUGCAUUUCUAAUGUUUCAAACUCUUUUUCCUAGUGAUUUGUAAUGCUAACACUUAGGUAGCUAGUACAGGUGGCCAUUAAAAAUCAAACACUUUGUGAAACAACUUUAUGUACUGUAAAAACUUACAAGCCUCAUAGAUAAUUUUAAAUGAAUGGGAAAAAGAAUUCUUCACUUUUCCAAAAUAAAACAUUAGUCAAACCAGCACCAUUCAAAAUUGCAAUGAUAUUCAUUUGCAAUGAAUGAGUUUUAUUCAGUCCCAAGGAAUGAGUUCUUAUUUUACUGGAUCUUGAAUUAAUAUCUGCUUUCAUUCAGAUGUCCAUCAGUCUAGAAUCACCUGGGAUGGGAAUGUUAAUAAAAAAUUGUCUAGAUUAGUUUUGCCUUUGUGAAUGUAUGUGUGAGAUUCUCUUGAAUAUGUUAACUCAAAUGAGAAAACACAUCUACUGUGGGAAGCACUGCUCACAAGCAGGGGUUCCUGAAUCGAAGAAAAGUAGAAAAAACAGUAGUAUGUAUACAUGCAGAAAUACCUCCCCAUCAUCCCACCUCAACUGUAAAUAUGAUGUGACAUGUUCUUUACAUUCCCAUUCCAUUGACUUCCCCAAGAGAACGGAUUGUAAUCUGGAACUCUGAGCUAAACAAUCUUUCUUUGACUUGCUUUGGUUGGGAUAUUUUAAUACAACAACAGGAAGAGAAACUAAGGCCCAAGACUAA